rnacentral:lncRNA from 1 species
CACUUCGGAGUCCACGUCACACUGCCACAACCCACGGCCGUCGGUCGUGUCGUUGUCGGCCUAGUAACACAACACUGUCUUUCAGGAACACUGUUGCGCGCGUUGUGCGUCCAAA